rnacentral:rRNA from 1 species
UACGGAGGGUGCGAGCGUUGUUCGGAAUUAUUGGGCGUAAAGCGCGUGUAGGCGGCUCCUUAAGUCUGAUGUGAAAGCCCCGGGCUCAACCUGGGAAGUGCAUUGGAAACUGGGGAACUUGAAUACGGGAGAGGGUAGUGGAAUUCCCGGUGUAGAGGUGAAAUUCGUAGAGAUCGGGAGGAACACCAGUGGCGAAGGCGACUAUCUGGCUGACAACUGACGCUGAGACUCGAAAGCAUGGGGAGCAAACAGG